CCUACGGGCGGCAGCAGUGAGGAAUAUUGGUCAAUGGGCGCGAGCCUGAACCAGCCAAGUCGCGUGAGGGAUGAAGGUUCUAUGGAUCGUAAACCUCUUUUAUAAGGGAAUAAAGUGCGGGACGUGUCCCGUUUUGUAUGUACCUUAUGAAUAAGGAUCGGCUAACUCCGUGCCAGCAGCCGCGGUAAUACGGAGGAUCCGAGCGUUAUCCGGAUUUAUUGGGUUUAAAGGGUGCGUAGGCGGCCUUUUAAGUCAGCGGUGAAAGUCUGUGGCUCAACCAUAGAAUUGCCGUUGAAACUGGGGGGCUUUGGUAUGUUUGAGGCAGGCGGAAUGGGUGGUGGAGCGGUGAA
rnacentral:rRNA from 1 species